GAAAUGCGAUAAGUAAUGUGAAUUGCAGAAUUCAGUGAAUCAUCGAAUCUUUGAACGCACCUUGCGCUCCUUGGUAUUCCUUGGAGCAUGCCUGUUUGAGUAUCAUGAAAUCUUCAAAGUAAAUCUUUUGUUAACUCAAUUGGUUUCUACUUUGGUAUUGGAGGUCUUUGCAGCUUCACACCUGCUCCUCUUUGUUCAUUAGCUGGAUCUCAGUGUUAUGCUUGGUUCCACUCGGCGUGAUAAGUUAUCUAUCGCUGAGGACACUGUAAAAGGUGGCCAAGGUAAAUGCAGAUGAACCGCUUCUAAUAGUCCAUUGACUUGGACAAUACUUUUAUGAUCUGAUCUCGGAUCAGGUAGGAAUACCCGCUGAACUUAAGC
rnacentral:misc_RNA from 1 species